AACAAAAUGAAAUUCAACAAAGACAAAUGCAAAGUACUCGACUUAGGAAGGACCGAUCAGUUGCACACAUACAAAAUGGGAAAUGACUGCCAAGGAAGGAGCACUGCAGAAAGGGAUCUGGGGUCAUAGUGGACCACAAGCUAAAUAUAAGUCAAUAGUGUAACACUGUUGCA